rfam:Wolbachia endosymbiont of Drosophila ananassae gdan_348, whole genome shotgun sequence.
GAUACUUGAAUGCAAAAUUGGUGUCAUCCCAGUGCUCCGACACUGGGAUCCAGGAAAUUUGAUUUCAAACAAGUGCAUCAGAUAGUUGUAUAGUAAAGACUGGAUUCCAGUGUCAAGCACUGGAAUGACAUCAUUUGCUAUGUAAGCU